rnacentral:pre_miRNA from 1 species
UCACUUGUCAAGAACUUUCGCUGUGACUUGCGUGCUUUGCAAUAUCGCAUCACAGUCUGAGUUCUUGCUGAGCGU